rnacentral:rRNA from 1 species
AACGAACGCUGGCGGCAUGCCUAACACAUGCAAGUCGAACGAGACCUUCGGGUCUAGUGGCGCACGGGUGCGUAACGCGUGGGAACCUGCCCUUAGGUUCGGAAUAACUCCCCGAAAGGGGUGCUAAUACCGGAUAAUGUCUUCGGACCAAAGAUUUAUCGCCUUUGGAUGGGCCCGCGUUGGAUUAGCUAGUUGGUAGGGUAAAAGCCUACCAAGGCGAGGAUCCAUAGCUGGUCUGAGAGGAUGAUAAGCCACACUGGGACUGAGACACGGCCCAGAAUCCGACGGGAGGCAGCAGUGGGGAAUAUUGGACAAUGGGCGAAAGCCUGAUCCAGCAAUGCCGCGGAAGUGAUGAAGGCCUUAGGGUUGUAAAGCUCUUUUACCCGGGAUGAGAAUGACAGUACCGGGAGAAUAAGCUCCGGCUAACUCCGUG